UACGGAGGGGGCUAGCGUUGUUCGGAAUUACUGGGCGUAAAGCGCACGUAGGCGGCUUCGCAAGUCAGAGGUGAAAGCCCGUGGCUCAACCCCGGAACUGCCUUUGAGACUGCGUCGCUCGAAUCCGGGAGAGGCGGGUAGAAUUCCGGGUGUAGAGGUGGAAUUCGUAGAGAUUCGGAAGAAUACCAGUGGCGAAGGCGGCCCGCUGGACCGGCAUUGACGCUGAGGUGCGAAAGCGUGGGGAGCAAACAGG
rnacentral:rRNA from 1 species